rnacentral:lncRNA from 1 species
GAGACUCUUACUGGCUGCCACGCAGGGGCCACCCGGAUCCUCACUCAUCCCGUUACUAAUCUCAAGGGUUGCGAGGUCAGGGGCGGGCCAGGCCCUGUGGGACUCCUUAAAGAAGAGCAGAGCCCGCCUAGAGGAAGAGGUCCGUGGUCUCUGGGAGCCUGCCACAGGUGCUCUCAUACCACAUGGGGAGGAGAAGAGGAACAAUGGCCAGGUUUCUAUAUUAAUAAGUCCUUGAAUUUCUAGAAAGUCUUUUAGGAGUAUUCAAUGGGUGGAGGAUACAGAGAGUUCACGAUUUACUCAGAUUUUAGCCACUUAUUCUACGUGUGCAUGUGUGUGUGUUUUAUUUCACAAUCCAAAUCAAGCCGUCCAGGUGGCCCUUUCUUACCCACUAGACUCUGUUUUUUCUUUUUCUCAUUCUCCUGGACAAUCAGGGAAGGAAUAAACUGGACUACAUGGAAAUCAAGACUAGAAGAGAGGGAGGAGGAGCUGGAGCUAUCCUACCUCAUCAGUGUUUUGUCUUCUGUUGGGAUGAACUUUGUUAAAACUAAUGCAUGGUUAAGAUGAAAGGCAGAAGGAAGGGUUUGAUAAACCAGAACAUUCUCGCCUGAUUGUUAGUGUUCUGAAGUAAAUACAGAAGAGGCUCCAAAAUACAGACCUCUGUACAUCAACCUUCCGUAAUCCACCUGCCUUGCAUAUGCAGACCAUGACAAUUCUACGAGCUCCUGGAAACAGAACUCAGAACUCCUCCCCAGAGAACCCUGAUGCAAAUUCUCUGAAAUGGUAGUCAGCAUGUGCGUUUUCCUGAGAAGUGAAUGAGUCAACAGCUUUCAACAGAUCUUCAAAGGCUUACUUCACCCAAUGAAGUUAAGAACCACUAAAGAAGAAACCUAAAAGGAAAAUCCAGGUCAUGAACUUUGCAAUUUUUAUUCACAUACAGAGAAGAGGGGAGGAAUCUCUUGUGUAUGUUUUACUUAUGUAUACCACUGGUUCUUAAUAAAGGGCUUUUUUUGCCUCCAGAGGUCAAUGCCUGGAGACAUUUUUGGUUGUCACACCUAGGGAGAUGCUAUUGGGAUCUAGUGAGUAGAGACCAGAGAUGCUGCUAAACAUCCUACAAUGAAGUUUGCUAUCACUCCAAGGUUUUGCAUGCGACUUAAACUGUACAUUUAUUAAUCAAUUGCUACAUGUACUAAAAUAUGUAUCUCUCUCCAUAUAUGUAUAUAUGCGUGUAUUUUUUCAUUAUUGUUGGAUGUAUAGCUCAACUCCACUACAACAGAGGAAAGUAUUUGUUUUAAAGUAGAAUCUGAAUAUACUCACUCUGUAUACCCUCAUCCAUACCUUCAAGAUCUGGUGAAAACACUAUCUCUUGCAAGAACAUUCUUUGAUGCUGUUCAGAAUUAAUCCAGACCCUUUUCUGUAUUCUCUUAAUACCUUAUCUGAUCCUCUCUUAAGUUACUUCUCACUAUCUACCUUAGUAACACAAUUUUAUUUACAUACAAGUUCUCUCUCCCUCACUAGACAAAAACUUCUUGAGGGCAAGCACUGUGUCUCCUUUCAACCAUUAUUAUCUUCUCUCAUGUUUUUUGAACAGAUUUAUCUAUAGCCCAAACAUACCUUUUCAAAAAACUAAAAAUUACUUUACAUAUUUGAUCUAAGGCUUUGUUUUUCUCCAUUAAGAGCAUGCUGUGGAUAUCUUUGCAAGUGAGUGCAUAAGGAUUUUUCUUAACCUUGGAGAUGGCUGUCUAGGAUUUCAGAAUAUCAACUCAUAUUUGUAGCUCCAUGGCAACUCACCUACACAACUCACAACUCUUUAUUGAAGGCAUUCUGUACCAAUAUAAAUAUAGUCCAUAUCCCAUUCUAAUAUGGAUUUCUGCUCCUUGUUGCUUGCUAUUUUGAACACUUUUAGUCUGGUCCAGUCAGGCCUAUAAACCACUUUGCAUCAGAACUUGGCAAUGGUUUGCUGGUUCAGAGGAUUAAGGAGUGGGGUAAGGCUGGCAGAAGGACAGAAGAGAAAAGACUUGAGUAACAACAGGAGGCAAAAGAGUAACUUAGCUUGGCUAAUAGAAUUCUUAUUUGAAAUGCAUCUCUCUAUAUAAGAGUUUGGUUCAAUAAUCACAAUAUAAUAAGUCCUGCAUGUAUCUGGAUGAAGAUAAUUGCUUUUUUCUGUUCAAUGCUUUUCCAUAGCAGAAAUAGCUGGGGCAGAACAAAAUGGUAUCUCUGUUACAGGAUUCUAUAAGGGUAUAGAACUGCUUUUCUCAUAGGUAAAAGGCAGACCGUUUGAAUUUGGCUUUUUAAAAACAGAAGAGUAGGAGGAAAUAACAGCUUGCUCUCUCCACCCUAUUUAAUUGUGAUAUUAAACACCUUAGAUUACUCACUUGGGCUUUAUAAGGCAACCUUCUCCUGUUUCACACAGAGGUGGGUGGUUCUUAUUUAUCAGACUUUUAAAAUAUUCAGGACUUCUUUCCAAAGAAAUAGAUGCAUCACUUAAAAAUAAAUAUCAGACAAUAUUAUUGAUACUUUACAGUACUUAUUUAGCAGUUAAUACUUUUUUAAAAGGCAUUUUCUUAUUUAUCAUUUAGGCAUUUGCAGUGUAAGACAAACUCCCUUGUUUGAUUACGCAUUCACCUGUUCAUUCAUUCAUUCAUUCAAGGAUUUAUUAGGAAAUUAUUUGUGCUGGCUGUGGGUACAAUGAUGAACAAAAGCUUAUACCCUGGCCUCAUAUUUAUGGGUGCAGUAGACACUAAUCAAAUGGUCACAAAAUGUGUAUCUUAUUUCACUGAUUAUAAAAUACAGAUUUUUCACAUUUUAUCAGGGUUCAUGUUAUAAUUGAUGAUCUACUAUAUAUUAUAGUUUAAUUGAUAGCGUAUUUUGUGAUUCAUAAAAUGAGUUUUAUAAUAGAAUUCUAUAAUUAAUAAAAUAUAGAUAUUUACAUAAAUUUAUAGUGUAUCUAUGCCUUUUUUUUCUUUUUUAGAGAUGGGAUCUUGCUAUUUUGCCCAGGCUGGACUUGAACUCCCAGUCUCCAGAAUAGCUGGGACUAUAGGUGCACACCACCACACCUGACAGAGUAUCUAUGCUUUUGAGUGACUACGUGUGCUACAAGAAUGAUUUAAUUGAAUCCUUCGUUUAUUUAACUUAAGAGCAGUCAAUCUUGCUACAUUAUUUUUGUCUGAGAGCGAAUAUUGUGGUAUAAAUUUUUUCUUUUUUUUUUUUUUUUUACAAUUUAAAAUGUUCUCAAAUCAGAAGAAUUGCAAAAGAAUGCAAACAUGUUGGCUGGGCGCUGUGGCUCACAGUGUAAUCCCAACACUUUGAGAAGCUGAGGCGGGAGGAUCACUUGAGCCAGGCCUAAUCCUGAGCUUUUAUUUCAUUAUGCGUGUUAAUUUUCUCAAGAUAGCAAAUGCUAAAUUUUUGUCAUACUUAUACAAAAAGAGAACUGAACUGAACUUUCUUUCUAUAUUUCUGAUCUCUUCUUCUCUGAGCAACUUAUUGGGCUUAUUCUCAGUAAUCAUACAGUUUUGCACUCAAUUGUUUUCUUGGUUUUUUGUUGUUAUUUUUAUCUUGCACUCAAUUGUUUUCUAUUUGUUUACUGUAUGCUACUUUAUUUUCUUCUCCAGUUAUAAGAUAUGCUCCCUAGGGACAUAAAUAGUAUAUGUCUUUUAUGGUGUUACAAAAAUAAGAUGUGCCUGUAGUAAAUAAUUUGGAAACUACAUUAAUGUAUAAUAUAGUAAUCACAUUUUAUCUCAUUAUCCAGAUAAUCACUGUUUUGCUUCUUUUUUUAUUUAUUCUUUCUAUGCAGACAUAGGUAUACAUUUUUAUUAAAGUAAAAUUAUAAUGCUAGUCUCUUUAUUUCCCUACACAAUACCUUGACAAAUUAUGACAAUAUAAUAGGUACCAGACUUGUUAAAUUAUUGAUCAAUUGAUUGUUUAACAAUGGAAUUUUGAGAAAUAUUUGGGUAGAAAAAAAACUAGUUUUAAAAGAAGAGAAUCCAACCAUUAAAACAUCAAAAAAUGAAAUUAUUUGUAAAUAUUAUGUGGCAAUCCAUUCAAUUUUAAACAACUUACAGUGUCAAUAAAACUAUAACUCAAUAAAUUUCUCAGGCAGAGCCCAUCUGCCUCUUCUUUAAUAUGAAUGCAAACUUGAUAUGUGGUUUAGUAAAUUGCUAGAACGAAAUGAUGGCAUAGUUUUGGGUUUUGAGGGGUUUUCUGUGUGUGUGUGUGUGUGUGUGUGUUUGUUUGUUUGUUUUAAACAGGGUCUGGCUCUGUCACCCAGGUUGAAGUGCAGUGACACUAUCUCAGCUCACUGCAACCUUCACCUCCAAAGCUCAAGCCAUUCUCCACCUCAGCCUCCCAAGUAGUUGAGACUAUAGGCAUGUGCCACCACACCCGGCUAAUUUUUGUAUUUUUUGUAGAGACAGGGUUUUGCCAUCUUGCUCAGGCUGGUCUCAAACUCCUGUGCUCAAGAGAUCCACCUGCUUCAUCCUCCCAGGGUGCUGGGAUUACAUGUGUGAGCCACCACACCCAGAGGAAAUGACAUUUGAAGAGAGACUAAAGGAUGAGAAAAAGACAGCCUUCCUGGAAGAGGAAACAGCAAAUGCAAAAACUCUGAGUUAGGAAAGAACUUGAUGCACUUGAGAAACAAAAAGAAGGCCGGCAAGACUGAAAUCCACAUAAGUCAGACCCGGGCACAGCAAACUGGACGUCCUCAGUAUAUAUGUGGCAACUGAAACCAGGCAUUUAGGACAUGAUCUCAUUCUGUUGCCCAGGGUGAGUGCAGUGGCACCUUCAUGGCUCAUUGCAGUCUCGAUCUCCCAGGCUCAAGCGAUCCUCCCACCUCAGCCUCCCAAAGUGCUGGGAUUGCAGGCGUGAGCCACCUUGCCCAGCCCAUUCUGCAAUCUUCGGAAGGAAGUCACUAUAUGCAGCCUAUGCUUGAGGAGUGGGGAGUUGAAUUCCACAUCCUUGAGGGCAGAAUACCUAAAUAAAUUAUUUGGAAUUCUUCUGCAAGAGAGAUUUGUCUCUUCUCCUCCAUUUAUUCAUUUAUUCAAUUAUUUCUUCAUGUCAUAAAAUCAUGAAUAUUUAUUUUAUAUGUUGCAUUAUAAACCAACAGUACUUUUUAAGAAAUCAAAUUGUUCCAGGCUUGGCCAUUAGGAGCUCUUUCAGUUGGCUUCUGUGCCCUUUGACAUAGCCCCACCAAUGUAGGGUGGUUUUGUCUUUUGGUUUUGGAGCAUUUUCUUACUUUUUGGCACUGUAAGAUGCUCCAGGCUGAUCUCGUGUAUUCCUGUGUAAAAUCAGCCAUUUCUCAAAGGAACACUUGUUCCUUUUAUCGGUGAAUGGUAUAAGCAACCAAUAUCUGGGUGACAGAGUGUUCCCUGCUGCAGGGGAAUUGUUGCUCUAGGCCCUUUCAGCUGACAGAGCAAAGAAAUAUGUGUGUAUAUCAACCAAGGCAUAUAUACACAUCAAUAAUAUUUCUAUAUCUAAUCAUCUAUAUUUCUAUUAAAUUAAACAUAAGUUCAUACUAAUUAAGAGAUAUUUUUAUUUUAUAGUAUUUUGUACUAUUUGAGGUGAUUUUUUAAUAGGUCAAUUUGUUACUUUGUCAAUCAUUUUAAAAGAAAUUAUAUUAUGUUUCAAAUGCCCUAGUGAUAAGAUAAAUUAUAUAUACGUAUGUCUUGAUAGUUGUGGAUUACUAGAUGCAAAACAAAUGGUCUAUUGGUAUUGUUUGUUUGUUUGUUUGUUUUAGAGACAGGGUCACACUCUGUCACCCAGGCUGGAGUGCAGUGGUGUGAUGAUAGCUCAUUGCAGACUCGAUCUCCUGGGCUCAAGCGAUCCUUCCACCUCAGCCUUCCAAAUAGCUGGGAUUACAGGCAUGCACCACCAUACCUGGCUAGUUUUUAAUUUUUUGUAGAGAUGGGGUCUCACUAUGUUGCCUAGGAUAGUCUUGAAUUCCUGGUCUCAAGUGACC